GACCCAGUCGAAUCACAGUCGCUGUCUAUCUUCACAAGAGACAGGCGGAGCAGUCCCACUCCUUGAGCUCACUGUCUUCCAGAAAGUGGCAGAGCUGGGGAGGGAAGUUUGCGGAUCUGGCCAUUGUGACUUUAAUCUUCUUCCGGUGCGCCUCCAGCCACAGUUUCGAUCUGUUCCCAUCUUCUGCUGCACUGACUUCCUCGAGGGCUCAGCCCUGUCUGACUGCCUACACAAUAUCCACCUAACUUAGCUAUCUAUAGUAUGAGGACAUAGGAGGGGACAAAACAAACAUCCCUGCCCUCCUGGACACGCUCAGAGAUGUGGUCACAGUGCUGUGAGAACAUGAAGGAGCAAGGGAAGCUUGUGAAGCUUGGCAGGAACAAGGGACGAUCUGGGUGUGUGGAGAAGGUGGGAGCCGCCGGCCCAGGGCACUGCAUUUGGAGCUCUGACACCUGCCUGGUCAACCUAGAUAGACUCUGCCUCCUGGGGCCACCGACUCUCGGGCGCUGAAGCCAAGGUCAUCACUGCCCUCACUUGUUGGUAGCCGUGUCCUAGCAACUAAAGAGUGUCCUUCACUCUCAGAGCUGUCCAGUUGAUACUGUCCUGCUGCUUUAGCCAAACUUCCCCAGAAGGAGAAGAGGACUAUGACCUACACCAGCCCUGGAUGAGGGCUGUCUGGAUCCAGAAGCGUACCAGCUAUAGAGGGUUGCACUGCCUGGGUCAUGUCCCAAGGUCCUACUUCUGCCCAGACCUGCAGCUGUGACACCACUUUCCAGUGGGAGGCCGCAGGUGGGAGGGAAGAAGUGUCCUGCUGGCUGAUAAGCAGGAGGUGUCUGCCUGGGGAAAAAUAAGGCUCCACCCUGGGGUUCCUGUCACCUGCCUUCAGGUCUGACCUGACCACAGGGGUAUCCCCUCUUUGCGGAGUCCAUCCCGACUAGGAAUGUUGUCCCAGGAAGGCAGAGUACUUCUGGUUUCUGCCUCACUGACCCUAGUGCCCCUGCCCAGGCUCCACAGCUCUCUGGGAUGUGUGCAGUGGGUGCUAGGAGGACUGUUUGCUGCAGACGUGGUGCAUUCUCCCUGGUGAGCUGAUGACAGCAGUCCACUGCACAGACUCAUUCUUCAGCCCUUCAGCUGGACUUUGGAGUAGGAGCCAGAAAGAAGCCUUCUUAUCCCUACCCAAAACUUAGCCAGCUAAUGUCUUAGCCUUGGUUGCCUCCUUUGUAGAAACAGGUGUACAGUGAUAAUACCUAACAACACAGACCCUUGUGGGUCUGUGUUGAGUAGAUGAAGUGAGCUAAGUGAAAACUCACUGCUGAGCACAAUGCCCAGCACAGAGCAUGUGCUCAUUAGUAGCUUUAAUCCACAGUCCUCUUAAAUCCACCUCCUCUGAGAAGCCUCCCAGACUCCUCAGAACAGAUACGGCUUUUCUUAUUGUGGCCACUUGGGGGCACUUCACUAUAAAACAUUGGCGUUUUGCUUUGAUAGAACAGAAGCUGAUAAUGGAGAGUAAGGCAGAGGAUGAGGCUGAGGAGGUCCCUUAGAGAAAUGACAAUGAGAUAUAGAGCCCCUGGUCGGUAGCCCACACAGCCCAGUGUGGCAGCAGAGGAGAGGAUUUGGGUAUGAAAGCAGGUGAACUUGGCUGAAUCAUGUAUCACCUCCAAGGCCAUAAAAGGAAAGACGUUAAAUGGACCACAGCCAAACGCAAAAUAAAGGCCUGCAAACAUUGUGGUCUUUUGGGGUAAAAUGCUGGAGUUCUGGGGAGCGGGAGAAAUGGGCCAGGCCAUGACAGGUAGUGCAAGCUAUGGAAAGGGCUUUGGUUGGGGAUGAGGUCACCUGAUGUGGGUUCUGGAAAGAUGGGUGGUGACUUGGGUGGAGCUCACCUCAGAGGGGAGGAGAACUGAGGCAGCAGCACAGAAGUCUUGAGACUCCAAAAUGGGAAAGAGUAGACUGGGGUGAUGGAGAAGGUUCUGAGGAAGGACCCUUUGGACUUAGUGGCAGGUUAGAUGAGGGGGGAGAAAGAAGAGUACAAGAUGACUCUUGGGGACACCUGGCGGAUGGUGGUGCUGACACCUUUGUGCGUGGGGAGGAGGAGCUGGGUGGGAAGGGGUGGAGGGCAUGGUUCAGCUCAGUCUGGACAGCUGCCCGUGACACCUGCAGGCCUUCACUGGGGAAGCCCCAGAACCGUGGGUAAACUCUUGCAGUGUACUCACCAGCUCACUAAUAAAUAUUAAUUGCAUGAA